UACGGAGGAUGCAAGCGUUAUCCGGAAUGAUUGGGCGUAAAGCGUCCGCAGGUGGCAAUGUAAGUCUGCUGUCAAAGCGUCUGGCUCAACCAGAUAAAGGCAGUGGAAACUACAUAGCUAGAGUAAGGUAGGGGUAGAGGGAAUUCCCAGUGUAGCGGUGAAAUGCGUAGAUAUCGGGAGGAACACCAGUGGCGAAGGCGGUUGCCUGGAGCUUUGCUGACGCUGAGGCGCGAAAGCGUGGGGAGCGAUCCGG
rnacentral:rRNA from 1 species